GUGGAGGAGGACGAGCAAGAGCGGGAUAUUAGCUGCAAUGAGCUUCAGGUUCCUGCAGAGAGGAAAAUUGCAGUCACUUAGAGAAUUAAUCAUAAGAAGGAAUAUUGUCCAUAUGUUGCCAGAUGUCAGGACGGUGUUUCCCAGCUGUUGGUCAGUUAAACACUAGGACGCAGGUGCAGCAAUGAUUCUCUAAAGCCGACUGUCAGAGAGGGGUCAGUAUUGAGACAUUUUUAUCCUGC